UCCGGUCUUUUUCGCCCCGCCCUUCAAAUGCGAAAGCGACUGCCUUCUUGGAAUAAAAUACUUGGUCAGUGGAAUCUCUUCAACAAAAUAGAAGAGAAGCAGUCAUGGAGUGAAGAAAUAAAUCAUCUUUGUUUCUACUCAUCUGUCACUUAUGCAAUACAUACAAUAUGUAAAAAGGAAAAAUCCCUGUGUAAUAGCCUAAGGCAACCAGCAGCUUCCACGUCGGUUGGAUAUUAAUAAAUUUUUUUCUUUACUGUAAAAUAUA
ensembl:lncRNA WDR5B-DT WDR5B divergent transcript